rfam:Mycobacterium holsaticum strain M7 PROKKA_contig000146, whole genome shotgun sequence.
GGCGGUCUUCGGUAGUGGCUGCCGGGUUCCCCCUUCCGCGGGGGCAGACCGGCAGCUUCGAUCGAUGGCCGUA